CUAUACAUGACUCUGUGCAUAUCAAUAAGCGGAGGAAAAGAAACUAACAAGGAUUCCCCUAGUAACGGCGAGUGAAGCGGGAAGAGCUCAAAUUUGAAAUCUUAAAGGGUUUCCCUUUACGAAUUGUAGUUUAAAGAAGUGUUUUCUGUUGAGGUUUUGGUAAAAGUUCUUUGGAAUAGGACAUCAUAGAGGGUGAGAAUCCCGUAUUUGACCUUUACUUUCAACUUUGUGAUACACUUUCAAAGAGUCGGAUUGUUUGGGAAUGCAGUCCAAAAUGGGUGGUAAAUUUCAUCUAAAGCUAAAUAUUGGCGAGAGACCGAUAGCGAACAAGUACCGUGAGGGAAAGAUGAAAAGAACUUUGAAAAGAGAGUUAAACAGUACGUGAAAUUGUCAAAAGGGAAGCGUUUGACACCAGUGUUGUUUUUCUCGAAAAUCAAUUAAAAUGGACUCGAUUUAUGCUAUCUGUUGAGACCUUUAAUCAGCUAACUGUUAAUUUUUGAGUCUUUUCUUUAAUGCACUUUUCAGUUAACAAGUCAACAUCAGUUUCUUUUGUUGUAAAAGGGUCAUUGGAAGGUGGCUUUCUUUUCGGAGAAAGUGUUUAUAGCCUUUGGCCUCUGCAAUCGGAGAGACUGAGGUCUGCAGCGUAGACUCUUCGGAGUUAGAUACAUUUGUGCUAAGUUAUAGCUUUUUAUAGACAACUUGUUGACUAUAAUUAGUCUUGUAGCUUACUCGCUUAUGCUAUUUUACCUACGCUUAGGAUGUUGACAGCAGUAUAGACUGU
rnacentral:rRNA from 1 species